AGCUUGGCGAGUACAAGAAACACCACAAAAUGUAGUUUCUUGGUUCUUUAGUGUAAAGUAGUAUAGGAUAGUUUAGUUUUAGAUAAUUUAUCCUUUCUUGUAUGUUAGCUACAUGAAGAUGAAGAUGGAGAUGAAGAAGGCAAGGAAAGAGCUCAUGUGACAAGGGUUACUUUACCUUUCCAACUCUUAUCUUUUGUAUUGGAAUCUAAGUUUAAUUAAUAUACAAGUUUUGGAUUUUAUGUUUAUUAUGUGUCUUUAAAAGUUUAUGCCUUGGAUUUAGUUGAACUUUCUAUGAUUGUUAGCGUUUAUUCUUUGGCUAUUUGAUGCUAUUAUUUUGAGCAAGUUAUUUAGCACUUUAGCUCUUUAAAUCAUGAUUAAUUUGGCACCAUUAAUUGUGAUUAUCUAAAGGUGUUGCUUCUUCAAUGAAAAUUGAGAUUUAACACUAGUUCAAGAAAUGCUAAACCUAGGGAGUACACUCAUGAGAGUAGAGGUGCACCUAUGUGGUUUUAGUGAUUCAUUUCAUGUAAUUUCAUAGAAUAAAUGAACUUGUAGCUAAUUUCAUAACCAUGAGAGUAGGUAUGGAUUAGUUAUAAGUAUAGUUGAUUCACUACAAAAGUAGGUUUCACAAACCUAAGGAAAUUACGCAUAACUAGCCAAAAUAGUAGUACUCAUUGAUCCAAAUAUAGCACUUGCAUGAGUAGUUAGGGACACCAUAACCUAAGGAGCUUUUAUUUACCAUUUCCUUGCAUAAGUUUAGCAUAGUUUUAUUUCUUUAAUUUAUUGAUCGUCUAAAUAAUAGAGAAGGUUUAGUAGUGCCAGUAAUUGUCCAAUCUUUCUCGUGGAUCGACCGAUAUAGGCCCUAAACUACUAGUUGACCUGUAUACUUGCAGUCAAAACGGGUAUAAAUUGGAUUUAAACUUGUACUCAUAUCAAAAUUCCGCCAUAUUUAUUUUUGAUGAUGUUCUGCAAAUCUAUGUAUAAAUUACAUGUUAUAAAAUAGGAAUAUUUUUUCUUUUUAGACUUCUAUCUUUUAUAAUUUUAAGCAGCAUAUUAAUUUUACUUAAAUUUUUAAGCGGAUGUAAAUGUAUACCAUGUAAUAUAAAUUUAAAUUUGAAAUUCAUUUUUCGCUUAGAAGACAUACAUCUACACUUGUUAGUGUAAAAUAUCAUCUACAUCAACUGUGUAUGAAAACUUAAUCCAUUGAAAACUCAUAAGCGUUAAUCACUUAUAAAGGAAACUCAAUUUAAUCCUAGAUACAAUGUCUAAUCUUGAAUUUAAUGAGUCAAAAUAAAUCAUUUUAGUGAUUGUGGCAUUAUGCUAAAUUCAUGCUAAAGGAAGAUAGUGCAAAUCUCAACUUACGGAUCUUAAAAAGUGCUUGAACUGGCAGGGCCUCAAAUCUUGUCCAUCUUCUCUAACAGACUAGCUAUAAAGAACUUUUCACUAAUGCGGUAGAGUCAAUAAAUUAAUAUAUAUAUGCGGGCGGCAUUAAUGUUUUGUCUCCCGGAAACAUUAGUUACCACCUUUUUUUGAACCCCAAAAAGAAAAAAAGACAAUGGAAUUGCUUUUUCUUUUGUUUUUUUUUUUUGUGUAUAUAUAAAAUUCACAAGAAGCCUUUUCUCAAGUAGUCUUCCACUCUUCCCUGUUUGGGAACUGCACACAAAUAGAGCUAGCUUUAAGUUUCUUUAAACGAAGUCGAUUUGUAAUACAUAUUUUUAGCAUUAUUUGCAGAAACCACUUAUGAAAAGUUGCAACAGGAUUGGGACGCAGACGAGAAGUUAUACAAAUACUGGGAACAAAUCAAAAGGGUGAUAAAAUAUCACCACGUAGACAAUAGGGAGUUCAUGUUGAUUGAUACUUGAUGGUGAUCAUUGGGGACUCUUCCUGGGACACCUAUCAAUCAAGCGGCAAGGCCUGCCUGGACGCCCACCAGGAAUGCAAUUCGCGUACCUUAACAGAUUGCAAAUUGGCUUUGUCGUCCCUGAUGCACGGUAAACAAUAGGUCUGCGGCCUGGGGGAUCGGCGAGAACAUUGCCAAACUGAGAAUCCAUAAGGAAUUCUUGGUCGCCCGCUACAACAGUACUGCCGACCGUGGAAUCGCCCCACUCCCAGCUAAUGCUGCCAUUAACACUUUGAAUACUUGUUGCGCUGAUGAGAACUAUCGUAGUAAGCAGCAGCCAUGCCACCACUGGGAAGAUGCACAGGCUCUUUGAUGCUGAUUUCUCCAUCUCUCCCUGCUAUCUCUUGCUCUCUUGGAGACCUGAAUAGCUUUCUCUAUUUGUACUAAUAGACCUCGUACCUAGUUUACUUGAUAAUCGUAUUAAUGAACGUAUGGUUGUAGUUGGGACUGAGUUAAUUACUUUAAUUAGAGCUCCUCCAUGUUAGGUGGCCGUCAG
rnacentral:lncRNA from 1 species